GUGGGGAAUAUUGGGCAAUGGGGGCAACCCUGAUCCAGCGACGCCGCGUGAGUGAUGAAGGCCUUCGGGUCGUAAAGCUCUGUUGCAGGGGAAGAACACAAUGACGGUACCCUGCUAGAAAGGAUCGGCUAACUUCGUGCCAGCAGCCGCGGUAAGACGAGGGAUCCUAGCGUUGUUCGGAAUUAUUGGGCGUAAAGCGGGUGCAGGUGGCUUGGUAAGUCAGAUGUGAAAGCCUGGGGCUUAACCCCAGAAGUGCAUUUGAUACUGCUGAGCUUGAGUGCUGGAGAGGCUAUUAGAAUUCCUGGUGUAGUGGUGAAAUACGUAGAUAUCAGGAGGAAUACCGGAGGCGAAGGCGGAUAGCUGGCCAGACACUGACACUCAGACCCGAAAGCGUGGGGAUCAAACAGGAUUAGAAACCCGGGUAGUCC
rnacentral:rRNA from 1 species